GUAAAGACACAUUUACAGCCUGAGGGUGCAGAUGGUGUCUCUCACUACUUUGCAUAGGAGCUGAUUUAGCCAAAUUAAACCACUCGGUGGUGAAGACCGCUGCCAUGGAAAUGGUGCAACAACUCCCCCCGCUGGAGUGAAUUCCAGGAGGAGGAGAGGAGGAGAGGGAGAAGACCGUGUCAGAGGUUGGAUUAUGACCUCUGCCCUGUGAGGAGAACCCAACUGUGUGGCGCUUCUGGGUGUGUGUUUGGAGGUCUUGAGUAGGGGCAUAUUAAACAGAAAAAAGAGAGA